GGCGAACGGGUGAGGUACACGUGAAGAAUCUGCCUUCAACUCUGGGAUAACUCCGGGAAACCGGGGCUAAUACCGGAUAUGAGCCUUGGCCGCAUGGCCGGGGCUGGAAAGUUUUUCGGUUGAAGAUGACUUCGCGGCCUAUCAGCUUGUUGGUGAGGUAAUGGCUCACCAAGGCGACGACGGGUAGCCGGCCUGAGAGGGCGACCGGCCACACUGGGACUGAGACACAGCCCAGACUCCUACGGGAGGCAGCAGUGGGGAAUAUUGGGCAAUGGAGGAAACUCUGACCCAGCGACGCCGCGUGCGGGAUGAAGGCCUUCGGGUUGUAAACCGCUUUCAGCAGGGAAUAAGCGCAAGUGAAGGUACCUGCAGAAGAAGCACCGGCUAACUAUGUGCCAGCAGCCGCGGUAAUACAUAGGGUGCAAGCGUUGUCCGGAAUUAUUGGGCGUAAAGAGCUCGUAGGUGGUUUGUUACGUCGGAUGUGAAAUGCAGGGGCUCAACCCCUGACUUGCAUCCGACACGGGCAAGCUAGAGUUUGGUAGGGGAGACUGGAAUUCCUGGUGUAGCGGUGGAAUGCGCAGAUAUCAGGAGGAACACCGAUGGCGAAGGCAGGUCUCUGGGCCAAUACUGACACUGAGGAGCGAAAGCGUGGGGAGCGAACAGGAUU
rnacentral:rRNA from 1 species